ensembl:lncRNA
AACAGUGACACAUGUUCGUUCCCCCUGACACUCAUUCUUUCCCCCUGUUUUUUAAUUUGAAGAAUCGGGUAAUUACUACCUUGGAGUUUCCAUCCUCUGGAAAAUGCCAUGCCCUCCUACAAAAGACAGGCCUUUCUGUUAAAAGAGAAGUGCUCAUGGUGGGUAAUUUAUAUGAGUGGUUCUGGCUUUUGUGUGCUCCUGAGCAUGACACUGACAGGCAAAGGAGCUCAGACUGCAGGCUGGCUGUUUAUGGCACUGAAGACAAAGAAAGCUCCGAAAAAAGGCUCCAGAUUUUCUUCCUAAUUAGUGUCCUCUAGACCCUUGUAAUCACAUGCCACGCAAAUGAACUGCCUGUUAUUCAGCCAAACAGAUGACAGUGGACUGGGUGACUUCCUCUGUCGCCAGCAGGCUGGAAGAAAAGAAGCGGGGAGACACUACACGCUGUAAAUGCUUCUUUUCCGCGUCGGGAAAAGGGAACGGCGGCCGCGGGCACAGGGCGGGGGUGCAGCGCCCUCUGCAGGCUGCGCCGCCACCGCCACGCACCCGGGCACCGCAUCCACCGCGCCCAACGGCGGGGCUCAGGGAUUCCGGGAAUAAAUCGCUUCCUUCUGUGUUGCUAGCAUUCUAUAUUAAUCGGAAAGAACCCCAACAAACAACUAACAAAACAAACCACACCGAAACAGAAUAUGGAAGAUGUGGAAUCACCACUGUCCGGCAGGAAUCCCUCGGAAGUGGCCUCAAGUUGAGCCAGGGGAAGUUCAGGCCACUGCUGGGCAGAGAAGACAGAGGCAAGCCCCCUCCUGGAAGGGACUGUUGCAUGGGCUGGCUCAUUGGAAGCCAGGGGCAGCUGAGUGUGUCCCAGCAUUUUCCCUGCCCUCCAGUGUGCACUCCUCAUGACAGCAAGGGCUCAGUGUCCUUCUUCAGCAUGGAUACAGGAUCAGCAGAGAUUUAACAAUGUACUGCUGGUGAACCAAUAUGGGAAAUGGGACCCGAAUGAGAUCUGGAGGAUUAGACCGAAGCAAGGAAACUCAAGGGGAACUGUAAGAGAAGCUACCAAGGAUGGUAAGAAAAAGCAUUUGGUAGCAGGAGAGUCAACUGUGUCCCUGGAGAAUAGCCAUCCUUUUGUAAGGAUGGAGCUAACAGAAUAGUGAUUAUGACUGUGCCUGAAGCAAACGUUCAUGGUAUUACUGAGAUGUUUGACAAUUUAGUCAGGGGAGCUCAAGAUGAAAGGAUAACUUGUUAGUACUAUGUGUGCUGCAGAAAAAAAAAAGGAAUGAACAGUAUCUUAUAUUUAUAUCACACCUUUCAUCCUGAAAGAAUCCCAAAACACUCCACAAACCACAUAUGGAAGUGACUUCUGCCUCUGCUGAAUACGGAUGAUGGGGUGAAACAUGCCAGCUCUCUUAAUAUCAGAAACCAGCACUGCUGCACAGCAGCUCAGGAAAAAAAGAAGAGAGAGCCAGGCACAAAUCAAAAUGUAAAAUAAUAAUUUUCUAGGCAAAAAUGUGGAAGAACAGACCAAAAACAUGCAGUAUUUUCAGAACUCUUCAUUAUAUGAAUGGAAAAAGACUG